rnacentral:lncRNA from 1 species
AUGUCGCGUAAAACGCUUGCUUGGUCGAAUAAGGAGGUGGAGACGUUCCUCAGCAUUCUUGGGGAGGAAGACGUGCAGAGGGGGCUUGAUAGUGCAGUGAGGAACGAGAAGGUCUUCCAGCUGGUUUCUGGUCGAAUGGCGAUUGCGGGAUACGAGAAGAACACUGAGCAGUGUCGGCGGCAAUGCAAAAAGCUCCGGGCCGAGUAUGAGGAGGUGAAAGACCACAACAACCGCAGUGGCGUCGACAGGAAGAUGUGGAAGUGGUUUAACAUCAUGGACCCAAUCUACGGACACCGACCGGCGAGUAGAGGAAGAGAGGGGGCCAUCGACACGGCAACCUCUCUGCUCGAGUCCAUGUUGGAGCCUACCGGUGAGGUACCUCGCUACCAGGAAGUGCCUGACUCGGCCUUCCCAGAGGACGAAGACAUGGGGUCAAGCCGUUGUGUGAGCCCAACGCCAUCUACACCAGUCCCAGCGGAGAGUGCUGCUCUUUGCAACACCACCAACCCCACCUAUCCACGGCCUUUUGCCUUUGCCAAAAGAAGUAGGGCCAGUGAUGUUGCACUUGCCCUCCGGGAUAUGCAGGCAUCUGAUGAGAGGCGGCAGGAGCGGGAAGAGGAGCGGCAGGACCGUAGACACCGGGUCGCUCGAGAGGAGGCCCUACAGGAUGCCACCGAUGCUCGACUGCAUGAGGAUCAACGAGCAAUGCAGCGGAUGGCGCAAGUUGCAUCGUUCAACACCGCCUUCCUCCAAACCUUCAGCCAGAUGGUGCAGGCGUUUGGACACCGCGACCCUGUGCCGUGAUCCAGCCAUUCAGGGCCUGACCCUCUGAACCUUUUUUUUUGUGUGAAGACCUUUUUUUUUUUUGUGUUUUAACAUGUAAAUAAAUAUUCCUGUAUUUUUACUGUUUAAUAAAAAAAUAUAUACUAAAGCAGGAGUUGCUUUCUACACAUUUUCCAUGUACACAUUUUAUGGUCACCUUGAACUUGAGUUUACACGCCCACUGUGGGAUGGCUCACAUUUCACACAUGGGAAAAGUGGACAGCAUUGCUUAACUUUUCAAUUAAAAUGGGG